rnacentral:rRNA from 1 species
GACGAACGCUGGCGGCGUGCUUAACACAUGCAAGUCGAACGGAAAGGCCCUGCUUUUGUGGGGUGCUCGAGUGGCGAACGGGUGAGUAACACGUGAGUAACCUGCCCUUGACUUUGGGAUAACUUCAGGAAACUGGGGCUAAUACCGGAUAGGAGCUCCUGCUGCAUGGUGGGGGUUGGAAAGUUUCGGCGGUUGGGGAUGGACUCGCGGCUUAUCAGCUUGUUGGUGGGGUAGUGGCUUACCAAGGCUUUGACGGGUAGCCGGCCUGAGAGGGUGACCGGCCACAUUGGGACUGAGAUACGGCCCAGAGUCCUACGGGAGGCAGAAGUGGGGAAUAUUGCACAAUGGGCGGAAGCCUGAUGCAGCAACGCCGCGUGCGGGAUGACGGCCUUCGGGUUGUAAACCGCCUUCGCCUGUGACGAAGCGUGAGUGACGGUAAUGGGUAAAGAAGCACCGGCUAACUACGUG